rnacentral:tRNA from 1 species
CGCGGGGUGGAGCAGUUGGUAGCUCGUCGGGCUCAUAACCCGAAGGUCGU